AUUGAACGCUGGCGGCAGGCCUAACACAUGCAAGUCGAACGAGUGGCGGACGGGUGAGUAAUGUCUGGGAAACUGCCUGAUGGAGGGGGAUAACUACUGGAAACGGUAGCUAAUACCGCAUACCAUCAGAUGUGCCCCGAUGGUAUUGGCUAGUUGGUGGGGUAACGGCUCACCAAGGCGACGAUCCCUAGCGGGUCUGAGAGGAUGACCAGCAACACGGGAACGGAGACACGGUCCAGACUCCUGCGGGAGGCAGCAGUGGGGAAUAUUGCACAAUGGGCGCAAGCCUGAUGCAGCCAAGCAGCGUGUAUGAAGAAGGCCUUCGGUUUGUAAAGUACUUUCAGCGGGGAGGCGUUACCCGCAGAAGAAGCACCGGCUAACUCCGUGCCAGCAGCCGCGGUAAUUC
rnacentral:rRNA from 1 species